GCGGAUAUGGCGGAACUGGUAGACGCGCCGGACUUAAAAUCCGUUGGGCAAUACGCCCGUGCCGGUUCGAUUCCGGCUAUCCGCACCA
rnacentral:tRNA from 1 species